AUUGAACGCUGGCGGCCGGCCUAACACAUGCAAGUCGAGCGAGCGGCGGACGGGUGAGUAAUGUAUGGGGACUGCCCGAUCGAGGGGGAUAACUACUGGAAACGGUAGCUAAUACCGCAUACUAUCGGAUAACCCAUAUGGGAUUAGCUAGUAGGUGAGGUAAUGGCGUACCUAGGCGACGAUCCCUAGCUGGUCUGAGAGGAUGAUCAGCAACACUGGGACUGGGACACGGCCCAGACUCCUACGGAGGCAUCAGUGGGGAAUAUUGAACAAUGGGCGCAAGCCUGAUGCAGCCAGGCCGCGUGAAUGAAGAAGGCCUUAGGGUUGUAAAGUACUUUCAGUCGGGAGGCGUUACCGACAGAAGAAGCACCGGCUAACUCCGUGCCAGCAGCCGCGGUAAUAC
rnacentral:rRNA from 1 species